rnacentral:ribozyme from 1 species
GAAAGACAAAAGGAAAAGGCCAAAAGGAACCACAGUCAACAGCUCAUGGUUGUGUUCUGUUUGUUCUUUGUUCCUUUCAUUAAAAUCACGCUCUUCAUUCCAUUUCAAUUGUAUUUUAAUGAAAGAGAACAAAAGAACAAAGUGAACACAAGACUACACCUUAAUUUCCUUCCCUUCUUUGUCUCUUUUGAUUCAAUUGA